UUACUGGGCGUAAAGGGUGCGUAGGCGGUCUUUCAAGUCAGGAGUGAAAGGCUACGGCUCAACCGUAGUAAGCUCUUGAAACUGGGAGACUUGAGUGCAGGAGAGGAGGGUGGAAUUCCUAGUGUAGCGGUGAAAUGCGUAGAUAUUAGGAGGAACACCAGUUGCGAAGGCGGCUCUCUGGACUGUAACUGACGCUGAGGCACGAAAGCGUGGGGAGCAAACAGGAUUAGAUACCCUGGUAGUCCACGCUGUAAACGAUGAGUACUAGGUGUCGGGGGUUACCCCC
rnacentral:rRNA from 1 species